ACUUCUAACAGUAUCUCUCAAGACUGAUACAUUUGAGCUCCAUCUGCCCUUCUAACAUGGCAGCCUGGCAACAGUGUCUUGCUAAGCUGGGAAACGUGGUAUGGUGAGAAAGUCUCUAACUUCGGUCAAGACUCAGUUCUGCCACUCUCUAGAAUGACUCUGGGCAAGGCUUCACUUCUCCUGAUGGAGCAAAAGGAGUACCAGGAGAUUCCAGACUGGAUCUCAGACAACACUGGAAGCAUCUCCAGGCUUUCAGAACACCAGAUUAAUCCAUAUGAAUGCCCAAAGGACAGUUCAUUUGUCCUUCCCUGUGACCCUCAUUCUGUCCCAGAUGGACCACGUUAAAGAAGAUGUGGAGUAUGAAGUCUGUCUGAAUACGUGAAAGGACUGACACCAGGGUUGUUGUGAAGCUGUGGGGCCUUUGCUGAGCCAGAGAUAUGGCUUGAAGGGAGAAAAUGAAACAUAGGUUGUGGCUCAGUUCUCAGCUAAGUACCCAGUACCCAGUUGAGUAGAGUAAGCGAGCUGCCCACGCUAGUCAGCCAGAGGAAGACGCAGAUGUCAGGGAAGAAGCAGGGCGUGGUUCCACCUAAAUGAAGAGGGGGAGCUCUAUACCUGGCUGGGAGACCCUGUGGGUACUGGUGAUGACCAGCCCACACUUAGCCCUGAGCCGUAAAGACACAAAAGAAACCCCAAAGGAAGGAAGGAACUGACUUGUCAAUCAUUCCCUACAGUUUUUAUUGAAGCAGGUCUGCCCAGUCUCUGCCUGCCUGCAGGAACUUAGAGACACAUUAGCACUCUAUGGACAAGCAAAGACCAAAGUCAGGAGCAGAUCUUCAUCAAAUGGUGAGGAUUCCAUCUCAUCAGCCAGAGCAGUCAUCAACGAAGCCAAGGACAGCUCUCACACGUUGUCCUUGAACCUCCAUACACGGGCAUAUAUAUGACUAAAUUUAAUUUGUUAAAGCCAAAAAUUUUUUAAAAUUAAAAAAAAACAAGCAAAA
rnacentral:lncRNA from 1 species